CCUACGGGAGGCAGCAGUGGGGAAUCUUGCACAAUGGAGGAAACUCUGAUGCAGCGAUGCCGCGUGAGUGAAGAAGGCCUUUGGGUUGUAAAGCUCUUUUGUAGGGGAAGAUAAUGACUGUACCCUAAGAAUAAGGUCCGGCUAACUUCGUGCCAGCAGCCGCGGUAAUACGAAGGGACCUAGCGUAGUUCGGAAUUACUGGGCGUAAAGCGCGCGUAGGCCGUUGAGUUAGUUAAUUGUGAAAUCCCAAAGCUUAACUUUGGAACUGCAAUUAAAACUGCUCGACUAGAGUUUGAUAGAGGAAAGCGGAAUACAUAGUGUAGAGGUGAAAUUCGUAGAUAUUAUGUAGAACACCAGUUGCGAAGGCGGCUUUCUGGAUCAACACUGACGCUGAGGCGCGAAAGUAUGGGUAGCAAAGAGGAUUAGAUACCCUCGUAGUCCAUACCAUAAACGAUGAUUGCUAGAUGUUGGAAAUUUAUUUUCAGUAUCGCAGCUAACGCAUUAAGCAAUCCGCCUGGGGAGUACGACCGCAAGGUUAAACUCAAAGGAAUUAGACGCUGAGACGNGCGAGACGACACGAGGAGAG
rnacentral:rRNA from 1 species